GGAAACUUAUGACAAAUAGCUUCAAAGAAACUUGUGAAAAAUCACCAGGCAUGGUGGUGAUCAAUUCAGUGAUUAAAUCACUGUUAAUUUCAGUGAUUUGGGAAGCUGAGGUCGAUAACAAUUUCAGGCCAACAUGGCCUGUCUCAAUUGGUUGGGGGUGCUUGCCUUACAUGCACAAAGCCCUGGGUUCAGUCCCCAGCACUACACACGCCAAGAAAAAAUGGUUGGGGGUGUAGCGCAAUGGUAGCGAUCUAUAGGUUAAAUCCUCAGUACUACAUACAAAUUUUUUUAAAGGGCUGGGGUUGUGGCUCAGUGGUAGAACGCUCACCUCACACCGGAGAGACCCAGGGUUCUAUCCUCAGCACCACAUAAAAAAAAGUAAACAAAGAUUGUGUCGUGCUGGGGAUGUGGCUAAAGCAGUAGCACGCUCACUUGGAAUGCGUGGGGCAUUCGAUCCUCAAAGAUAUUUUGUCCACCUAAAACUAAAAAAUAUUUUUUUUAGAAAAAAUAUUAUGUCCAUGUAUAACUAAAAAAAAAUUUUUUUUUAAAACCCAGCUAAAUUGCUGAGACUGGUCUUGAAUAUGGGAUCCUCCUGUCUCAGCCUUCCAAACUACUGGUAUUACAGGUGUGUGCCAUACACUCAGUUUAGAUAGCUUUUUAAAUUAAAACUAGCCAGGAAGGUAUGUAUCUAAUCCCAAUGACUUGGGAGGCUAAGGCUAGAGGAUGACAGGUUUGAGUCUGGCUUCAGUAAUUUAGCAAGACCUUGUCUCAAAAAAUGAAAUGAUUGUAGCUCAGUAACAACCAAAGGUAUCCUGAAAGUGUCCCUAGGAAACUGAGCUGUGAACUCAUGAAGUCAGGGACAGUGUCCAGUUGGUCAGUUACAUUGCUUGAUGUACAGCCAGUGCUUACCAUUUGUGGAUGAAUAAGUAUGCUCAGCCUAUGAAAUAAUCUAUGAAUGAGAAUCACUUGUACCAUUUGAACAAAAUGCAGUCCUAAAGCCACACCUCCCCAAAGCAUUAUUCAGAUUAGAGUCCAGGAAUCUGCAUUUUUAACAGCAAUCCAAGUGACUGCUGAAAUUGGUCUAUAAAUUAUAUUUUGAGAAAUAUUUGGGUCUUUUGUUUGAGUUUUUUGGCGUUUGGUUUGGCUUUUUUUUGUGUGUGUGUGUGAUACUGAGGAUUGAACCUAGGGGUACUCUACCACUGAAUGGUUUUAACUUUUCACUAUGAGGGUUUUGCUGAAUUGCCAAAUCGGGCUUUGAACAAAUUUCCCACCAAAUUUCAGCCUAGUGCUGAACGUACAGGCACAUACCACCACCAUGUCUGGCUGUUAACUUUGAAAAAUAUUAAGCAAUUAUACUAGAGAAAAAGACAUGGUACUAUUUCAGUCAUGAUUGAUGGGUAGUUCAAGCUCAAUUAAGGAAGAUGCUGGGAAAAGGGGUUAGGGAACAUUCAGUAUGGGAGCACUUGCCUAAUAUGCUAGGCACUGUCUUCAAUCCCCCCAAAUAGGUGAGGGUGGGGACAAAUAAGGGUGACAGGGUAACUCAGAAGGCACAAAAUGCAAGAGAUGUGAAGCUAUCUAUAGUG
rnacentral:lncRNA from 1 species